UUGGAGGGCAAGUCUGGUGCCAGCAGCCGCGGUAAUUCCAGCUCCAAUAGCGUAUAUUAAAGUUGUUGCAGUUAAAAAGCUCGUAGUUGAAUUUCGGGAUCAGAUUAUCGGUCGUGCCUCGGUACGCACUGGUAUUAUUGGUUCCUACCUUCUGAAGAACCGCGAUGUCAUUAAUUUGGUGUCGUGGGGAAUCAGGACUGUUACUUUGAAAAAAUUAGAGUGUUUAAAGCAGGCUUACGCUUGAAUACAUUAGCAUGGAAUAAUGAAAUAGGACGUUUGAUUCUAUUUUGUUGGUUUCUAGGAUUGACGUAAUGAUUAAUAGGGAUAGUUGGGGGCAUUAGUAUUCAAUUGUCAGAGGUGAAAUUCUUGGAUUUAUUGAAGACUAACUACUGCGAAAGCAUUUGCCAAGGAUGUUUUCAUUAAUCAAGAACGAAAGUUAGGGGAUCGAAGACGAUCAGAUACCGUCGUAGUCUUAACCAUGAACUAUGCCGACUAGGGAUCGGAUGAUGUUAAUUUUUUAAUGACUCAUUCGGCGCCUUACGGGAAACCAAAGUGUUUGGGUUC
rnacentral:rRNA from 1 species